GUCUCUGACUCUAAAGAGAGGCACUCGGGAAUGGGACAUCAAUGGAUGUCUUUCUGUACUUUGUUAUUGGUUGAACUUGCAUACAGCGCCAGCGCCAAUAUAUAGCCUUCGUCUCUUCUCGAUCUCUCCUUCUUCACUUUCUUCAUUCUCUCUAGCUCCGUGUCUCUGUGCUCUUCAUUCACGUGCUUUUACCUGCUUCCAAAGCAAUUCUAAAGCUGCAGUUAAUCAUCUCUAUACAAUAUAGUCGGCCUGUCCUCCUCACUGCAUCUUUGUAUCCAUUCUGCCACAAAUCAGCUUUCUGCUUUCUCGCCUGAGCUAUCUAGGGUUUUGUUCCCUUUGGAUGCUUCUUUUACAAGAUCUUAUCCCGCCCUGCUUAGAAAGUAAGCUGAAAAUUCCUCCCAGAAAGUUAAAAGGAGGAAGAAGACAACAAAAAUUCUCAGAAUUUUACUGGAUAAAGCGGCGGGUCUUUUAGAUAAUGAUUCUCGGGUUUGUGAUAUCCGGGUGACUCUUACCUUUGCGAAAAGCUAUCAUAACCAGGAACAGGGCGAACAACGGAAGCAUUUAUGGAUUUGAAUUCGCAUCAGACUUAUCAGCACCAACAGCAUCAAUCCAAUUCCGGAUUGGCUCGGUUCCGCUCUGCCCCCAGCUCGCUUCUUGCUAAUUUCAGACAAGCUCUCGAAUCUGCUGAGUCCGAGAGACGAAUUUCGAGAUUCGCAAACAACAGUAAUAAGAACGAUACGGCGUCGCCAAGCUUUCAAGAAUUUGAAUCCGAACACAAACCCUCUAAAUCUCCAUCAGAGGCUGCUCUGAACCGUAUGAAUUCCCAGCAAGGCUAUAGUGGCGGCGGGCUACCACCUCACUAUCCAAGGCAUAGUUCUUCCAUGGAUAGCUCCUUCGGACUGAUGGGUUCAAUGGGAAUGGAUCACGAAACUCGGCCAAAAGGCUUCGCUUUGCCUCUUCUUAGGCAAAGCAGCUCCCCUGCCGGUCUUUUCUCGAACAUCUCCUUUCCAAAUGGGUAUGGCCCCAUGAAAGGGGUGAGAAACUAUGGUGGGGUGAACGGCAGUAGUGAUGGUGGACUUACUCCAUCUAUCAAUGGAUUGAAGAAUGAGAUUAGCUUCUCAUCAAGAAGUACCUCCCUGGGAGCCCUGUCCCAGAUCUCUGAAAUAGAAUGUGAGGGUAUUGGAGCAACUAGCCCAGAUAAUGGGAGGGUGGGAACUAACAGUGGUGAUACUCGGUAUUAUGGCCCUGGCUUCCCUUAUACUUCCUGGAAUGAUACAUCACAUGUCUCAGAAAAUCUCACUGGUUUUAAACGACAUCAAACUAGUAAUGAAAAGUUGUAUUCUGAUGGUCAGAAUGCUGAGCCUGGAAGUCGGGUUAAUGUAUUAUCGCAUAACUUGAGUUUGCCAAAAACCCCAUCACGUAUGGCUUCCGUGGAGAAGUUUCUUCAAUUCCCAGAUUCUGUUCCUUGUAAAAUAAGGGCAAAGCGGGGCUGUGCCACUCAUCCACGAAGCAUUGCAGAAAGGGUUAGAAGAACUCGUAUCAGUGAACGAAUGAAAAAGUUACAAGAUCUCGUCCCGAACAUGGACAAGCAAACAAACACGGCAGACAUGUUGGACUUGGCUGUUAUGUAUAUUAAAGAUCUUCAGAAACAGUUCAUGACUCUGAGCGAGAAACGGGCAAACUGCAAAUGUACAAGCACGCAGAAAGCAGAUGCAAACUGAGUGGUUUCACUGACAAAAACAGAGCAUGCGAAGAAGGAUUUUGUGUGCUGAAAAUCAUUUAAUUUUCGAGGCGGUUGGACCAAGUAAGAGCUCUGUGGAUGGGGAAGCAUAUUCUUUUUGUCCAGGAUGAAUGAAUGCAUAGAUGGGCCCGCCGAAUAAAAAAAGAAAUGAAGAAAUAAAGAAAUGGACAGAGAGCAUUGGUAUGAAGAUUUAAAUAGUGAAGGUAUUGAUGGAACGGGGGUUGCUAAUUGGGGCAAGGACACAGUUGCAUGGUUGAUGGACGAUGGAGACUUGAGAGCAUAAAACAAGGGGAAAUAUCGGCGCCCACCUUAUCGAGCUGAAGAAUCUGGACCCUCUUGUAGCUUUUAUAGGGCUCAACACAACCUCUUCAAUACGUUCGCAUUAGAUUAACAAAUUUUAAAGUCCAGCUUUCUACAUGCUUAUCCAUUUUCAUAAAAUUUAUGAAGAGAUGGACGAUGAUAAAAAUGUGCGAAUAACCUGUAUUUCCGAGAAGUCAAAGUUAAAAGCUCAUGUAAAAUUCACUUUUUUAGUUAUGUAGCUUAAUCAAGGUCAACCAGUCAAUAUUAAAUAGACGUAUAAAACUCAAUAAAUAUUUCUAAAUGAUAAGUAGUAUGGCUUUUCUCCUGUA